rnacentral:rRNA from 1 species
CGCGAAUGGCUCAUUACAACAGCUAUAAUUUACUUGAUCUUGACAAUCCUACUUGGAUAACUGUGGUAAUUCUAGAGCUAAUACAUGCACCAAAGCUCUGACCUUACGGGAAGAGUGCAUUUAUUAGAACAAAACCAAGCGGCUUCGGUCGUUUUUUGUUGACUCAGAAUAACUAAGCUGAUCGCAUGGUCUUGUACCGGCGACGUGUCUUUCAAGUAUCUGCCUUAUCAACUUUCGAUGGUAGUGUAUCUGACUACCAUGGUUGUGACGGGUAACGGAGGAUAAGGGUUCGACUCCGGAGAAGGGGCCUGAGAAAUGGCCACUACGUCUAAGGAUGGCAGCAGGCGCGCAAAUUACCCACUCUCAGAACGAGGAGGUAGUGACGAGAAAUAACGAGACCGUUCUCUACGAGGCCGGUCAUCGGAAUGGGUACAAUCUAAACCCUUUAACGAGUAUCUAUGAGAGGGCAAGUCUGGUGCCAGCAGCCGCGGUAAUUCCAGCU